rnacentral:rRNA from 1 species
CGCGGCCUAUCAGCUUGUUGGUGGGGUGAUGGCCUACCAAGGCGACGACGGGUAGCCGGCCUGAGAGGGCGACCGGCCACACUGGGACUGAGACACGGCCCAGACUUCUACGGAAGGCAGCAGUGGGGAAUAUUGCGCAAUGGGCGGAAGCCUGACGCAGCGACGCCGCGUGAGGGAUGACGGCCUUCGGGUUGUAAACCUCUUUCAGCCCUGACGAAGCGAAAGUGACGGUAGGGGCAGAAGAAGCACCGGCCAACUACGUGCCAGCAGCCGCGGUAAUACGUAGGGUGCAAGCGUUGUCCGGAAUUAUUGGGCGUAAAGAGCUCGUAGGUGGCCUGUCGCGUCGGCUGUGAAAACUCGGGGCUCAACUCCGAGCUUGCAGUCGAUACGGGCAGGCUAGAGUGCGGCAGGGGAGACUGGAAUUCCUGGUGUAGCGGUGAAAUGCGCAGAUAUCAGGAGGAACACCGGUGGCGAAGGCGGGUCUCUGGGCCGAUACUGACACUGAGGAGCGAAAGCGUGGGGAGCGAACAGGAUUAGAUACCCUGGUAGUCCACGCCGUAAACGGUGGGUACUAGGUGUGGGUUUCCUUCCUUGGGAUCCGUGCCGUAGCUAACGCAUUAAGUACCCCGCCUGGGGAGUACGG